rnacentral:rRNA from 1 species
AUUGAACGCUGGCGGCAUGCCUUACACAUGCAAGUCGAACGGCAGCACGGGUUCUUGCACCUGGUGGCGAGUGGCGAACGGGUGAGUAAUACAUCGGAACAUGUCCUGUAGUGGGGGAUAGCCCGGCGAAAGCCGGAUUAAUACCGCAUACGAUCUACGGAUGAAAGCGUGGGACCUUCGGGCCUCGCGCUAUAGGGUUGGCCGAUGGCUGAUUAGCUAGUUGGUGGGGUAAAGGCCUACCAAGGCGACGAUCAGUAGCUGGUCUGAGAGGACGACCAGCCACACUGGGAGAGAGACACGGCACAGACUCCUACGGGAGGCAGCAGUGGGGAAUUUUGGACAAUGGGGGAAAGCCUGAUACAGCAAUGCCGCGUGUGUGAAGAAGGCCUUCGGGUUGUAAAGCACUUUUGUCCGGAAAGAAAUCCUUGGCCCUAAUACGGUCGGGGGAUGACGGUACCGGAAGAAUAAGCACCGGCUAACUACGUG